GAAGGGGGCUAGCGUUGCUCGGGAAUCACUGGGGCGUAAAGGGCGCGUAGGCGGCGUUUUAAGUCGGGGGUGAAAGCCUGUGGCUCAACCACAGAAUGGCCUUCGAUACUGGGACGCUUGAGUAUGGUAGAGGUUGGUGGAACUGCGAGUGUAGAGGUGAAAUUCGUAGAUAUUCGCAAGAACACCGGUGGCGAAGGCGGCCAACUGGACCAUUACUGACGCUGAGGCGCGAAAGCGUGGGGAGCAAACAGGAUUAGAUGCCCUGGUAGUCCACGCCGUAAACGAUGAAUGCCAGCUGUUGGGGUGCUUGCACCGCAGUAGCGCAGCUAACGCUUUGAGCAUUCCGCCUGGGGAGUACGGUCGCAAGAUUA
rnacentral:rRNA from 1 species